CAAAGGCGUAUAUUAAAGUUGUUGCAGUUAAAAAGCUCGUAGUUGAACCUUGGGCUUGGCUGGCCGGUCCAUCUUUUUUGAUGCGUACUGGACCCAGCCGAGCCUUUCCUUCUGGCUAGCCUUUUGGCGAACCAGGACUUUUACUUUGAAAAAAUUAGAGUGUUCAAAGCAGGCCUUUGCUCGAAUAUAUUAGCAUGGAAUAAUAGAAUAGGACGUUAUGGUUCUAUUUUGUUGGUUUCUAGGACCAUCGUAAUGAUUAAUAGGGACGGUCGGGGGUAUCAGUAUUCAGUUGUCAGAGGUGAAAUUCUUGGAUUUACUGAAGACUAACUACUGCGAAAGCAUUUACCAAGGACGUUUUCAUUAA
rnacentral:rRNA from 1 species